CAACCCUCAAGCCCUCGGGUUUGGUGUUGGGGAUCGGCGAGCCCUUGCGGCAAGCCGGCCCCGAAAUCUAGUGGCGGUCUCGCUGCAGCUUCCCUUUCGUAGUAGUAAAACCCCCGCAACUGGUACGCGGCGCGGCCAAGCCGUUAAACCCCCAACUUCUGAA
rnacentral:misc_RNA from 1 species